rnacentral:rRNA from 1 species
UCCGUAGGUGAACCUGCGGAAGGAUCAUUACCGAGUUGAUUCGGGCUCCGGCCCGAUCCUCCCACCCUUUGUGUACCUACCUCUGUUGCUUUGGCGGGCCGCGGUUCUCCGCGGCCGCCCCCCUCCCCGGGGGGUGGCCAGCGCCCGCCAGAGGACCAUCAAACUCCAGUCAGUAAACGAUGCAGUCUGAAAAACAUUUAAUAAACUAAAACUUUCAACAACGGAUCUCUUGGUUCUGGCAUCGAUGAAGAACGCAGCGAAAUGCGAUAAGUAAUGUGAAUUGCAGAAUUCAGUGAAUCAUCGAAUCUUUGAACGCACAUUGCGCCCUUUGGUAUUCCGAAGGGCAUGCCUGUUCGAGCGUCAUUACAACCCUCAAGCUCUGCUUGGUAUUGGGCACCGUCCUUUGCGGGCGCGCCUCAAAGACCUCGGCGGUGGCGUCUUGCCUCAAGCGUAGUAGAACAUACAUCUCGCUUCGGAGCGCAGGGCGUCGCCCGCCGGACGAACCUUCUGAACUUUUCUCAAGGUUGACCACGGAUCAGGUAGGGAUACCCGCUGAACUUAAGCAUAUCAAUAAGCGGAGGA